rnacentral:rRNA from 1 species
UACGUAGGCAGCGAGCGUUGUUCGGAGUUACUGGGCGUAAAGGGUGUAUAGGCGGUUGUUUAAGUUUGGUGUGAAAUCUCCCGGCUCAACUGGGAGGGUGCGCCGAAUACUGAAUGACUAGAGUGCGGGAGAGGAAAGUGGAAUUCCUGGUGUAGCGGUGAAAUGCGUAGAUAUCAGGAGGAACACCGGUGGUGUAGACGGCUUUCUGGACCGUAACUGACGCUGAGACACGAAAGCGUGGGUAGCAAACAGG